UAAUCUGAAAAAAAAAGUUAGUUUGAAGUUUUUUUAUAUCAUAAAUUUAUUUGCUAUGAUUUUUUUAGCUGUUGUACCGUUAAACUGAAGUUGGCAAUAAAGUUUAGAGAAUUUUCUCUGGCUGAAUUUUUUAAAUCAAAAAACAACAAUGUGUGCCAUGAAUGUAAUCUGUUUUUCAUGUUGGAUCAAUGAAAAUUUAGUGUAUUGGCCAAAUCAUCUUGCCUUUAGGCUGCUGUAUGUGAAGCCACGCUUCUAAAAGUAACUGAAAGCAGCUGAAAAACAGAAUUUUUAGUUUAUUUUGAUAAACUUCCUUGAAUUGGAUGGAGGAGAUUAUUAAAAACAACAACUUAUCAACUUACAAUUUUAAUACAGCUAAUGGCUAAAAGAGUAUGUUUGUUAUACUCAAUGUAUGGAAACAAAGGUCAUUAUAGUAAUAGUGCGGGAAAUACGUUGUAUUCGUUCAAUUUGAAAUCGCUACGGACAAAAAUAUUAAAGAAAGAAUAGGCAGCUUUCUGGCCACGGCCAUUGAUAGAGAUGACGGAAGAAGAAAUAGAACCAAGACUGAGAAACGCCCAAUAUUUAGCAAUGAAAGUAUCGGCAAAAUAAUCUAAAUCAAUGCCCACUAUCUGAUAGUGAGAGUAUAAUGCAGUAGUUUAUUAAUAUAUAUAUAUAUAUAUAUAUAUAUAUACAUAUUUU